rnacentral:rRNA from 1 species
UACAGAGGUGGCAAGCGUUGUUCGGAAUUACUGGGCGUAAAGAGCUCGUAGGCGGCUUGUCACGUCGGAUGUGAAAGCCCGGGGCUUAACUCCGGGUCUGCAUUCGAUACGGGCUGGCUAGAGUGUGGUAGGGGAGAUCGGAAUUCCUGGUGUAGCGGUGAAAUGCGCAGAUAUCAGGAGGAACACCGGUGGCGAAGGCGGAUCUCUGGGCCAUUACUGACGCUGAGGAGCGAAAGCGUGGGGAGCGAACAGG